rnacentral:rRNA from 1 species
UACACGCUGUGACUAGCAUAUCAAUAAGCGGAGGAAAAGAAACUAACAAGGAUUCCCCUAGUAACGGCGAGCUGAAGCGGGAAGAGCUCAAGUUUGAAAUCUUAAAGGGUUUCCCUUUACGAAUUGUAGUUUAAAGAAGUGUUUUCUGUUGAGGUUUUAGGUAAAAGUUCUUUGGAAUAGGACAUCAUAGAGGGUGAGAAUCCCGUAUUUGACCUUUACUUUCAACUUUGUGAUACACUUUCAAAGAGUCGGAUUGUUUGGGAAUGCAGUCCAAAAUGGGUGGUAAAUUUCAUCUAAAGCUAAAUAUUGGCGAGAGACCGAUAGCGAACAAGUACCGUGAGGGAAAGAUGAAAAGAACUUUGAAAAGAGAGUUAAACAGUACGUGAAAUUGUCAAAAGGGAAGCGUUUGACACCAGUGUUGUUUUUCUGAAAAUCAAUUAAAGAACUGUUUAUGCUAAGUUGUUUAGACUUUAUCAGCUAACUGUUUAGUUUUGAGCUUUUCUUUAAUGCACUUUUCAGUUAACAAGUCAACAUCAAUUUCUUUUGCUGUAAAAAAGCUUGAGGAAGGUGGCUUGAGAUUCGUCUUAAGUGUUUAUAGCCUCUUGCCUAUGCAGUCGGAGAGAUUGAGGUCUGCAGCGUAGAUCCUUCGGGGCUAAAUGCAUUUGUGCUAAGUUAUAGCAUUUUAUAGACAACUUGUUGACUAUGAUUUGUCUUGUAGCUUACUCGCUUAUGUUAUUUUACCUACGCUUAGGAUGUUGAAGAUGUAGCACAUCAU